rnacentral:lncRNA from 10 species
ACAUAUCAACGUAACUUAUAUUCAUACAGAAAUGAAGACUUGCUAAAGCAACAUUCUUGAAAAGAUGUCUGGGGAUGUUGCACUGCUAAACCUACCUGUCCCUGAGUAACUAUAUUGUGUCCCAGAGUUCCCUCUGAUUGAAUUCCACUGACUCAGAGUGGCAAUUGUUUUGAUAACAUACCCUUGAUCGGCUUCCUUCCUUUUCUCACUUUCCUUUUGCACUGGUGUCUCCUGUGAUCACUUCCAAAAUAAACUACUUACACUCAAUUCUUGUCCUCAGGUCUGCUGCUGGGGAAACCAAACCACAGUAACUUCAGAAAUAUAUACUUGGAAUAUGUCAUGUAUUAAUGGGUAAAGACACCGUGGAUAUGAAGGAAAUCACCUAUGGGAGAAUAUUAAGAAGAGAAGAAGGUUAGUUCCAUGACUUGACUAAAUGGGGGCUUGGCUAUCUUGACAGAGUCUCAUUCCAGCCCUGUUCACAUGCUCGGUGGUUGUGGAAAUACAGACUCCAAGUCAUUCAACACUUUUAGCACCUUCCUGAGACCAUUUACUCUCUAAAAUGGAGUCUACCUGCUUCCACCUGAGAGCUAAAGAACCUUCUCUUUGAUCAAGCUGAGUUCCAGAGUUCCAAGUUUCCCAGGAUUCAGAGAUCCCUGGCCCAGCUGUGAUAUGCAGUCUCAAAACACAAAACAUCUGGAGAGAUGAUAUGAACAGUUCAUCUUUCCCUAUUUAUAUUUGAAGGCUAAGGCA